UACGUAGGGGGCUAGCGUUGUCCGGAAUCAUUGGGCGUAAAGAGCGUGUAGGCGGUCUGGUAAGUCCGCUGUGAAAGUCGGGGGCUCAACCCUCGAAUGCCGGUGGAUACUGUCGGGCUAGAGUGCGGAAGAGGCGAGUGGAAUUCCUGGUGUAGCGGUGAAAUGCGCAGAUAUCAGGAGGAACACCGAUGGCGAAGGCAGGUCUCUGGGCAUUAACUGACGCUGAGGAGCGAAAGCAUGGGGAGCGAACAGG
rnacentral:rRNA from 1 species